rnacentral:rRNA from 1 species
CGAACGCUGGCGGCGUGCUUAACACAUGCAAGUCGAACGCGAAAGGGACUUCGGUCCUGAGUAAAGUGGCGCACGGGUGAGUAACGCGUAGAUAACCUGUCUUCAUGUCUGGAAUAAUACGCCGAAAGGGGUACUAAUACCGGAUAUUCUUGCUUUUCAUAAGUUAUGCAAGCAAAGGUGGCCUCUGCAUAUGCUACUGCAUGAAGAGGGGUCUGCGUACCAUUAGCUAGUAGGUGGGGUAAUGGCCUACCUAGGCGACGAUGGUUAGCGGGUCUGAGAGGAUGAUCCGCCACACUGGCACUGGAACACGGGCCAGACUCCUACGGGAGGCAGCAGUGAGGAAUAUUGCGCAAUGGGGGAAACCCUGACGCAGCGACGCCGCGUGAGUGAAGGGAGGCCUUCGGGUCGUAAAGCUCUGUCAAGAGGAAAGAAGUGUACAAUGGCUAAUACCUGUUGUAUUUGACGGUACCUCUAAAGGAAGCACCGGCUAACUCCGUGCCAGCCGCAGC